rnacentral:rRNA from 1 species
CAAGUCAAGGGGGCCCAGCAAUGGGCAGCCGGCGAACGGGUGCGUAACACGUGAGCAACCUACCGAACUGUGGGGGAUAGCCGGCCUAACGGCCGAGUAAUACCGCAUACGCUUUCAUUGAGGCAUUUCAGUGAAAGGAAACCUACGGGACAGAUCGAGGGGCUCGCGGCCUAUCAGCUAGUUGGCGAGGUAACGGCUCACCAAGGCGACGACGGGUAGCUGGUCUGAGAGGAUGGCCAGCCACAUUGGGACUGAGAUACGGCCCAGACUCCUACGGGAGGCAGCAGUGGGGAAUCUUGCGCAAUGGCCUAACGGCUGACGCAGCGACGCCGCGUGUGGGAUGAAGCUCCUCGGAGUGUAAACCACUGUUGCCCGGGACGAAUAGCUCGAUUAAUCGAGCCUGACGGUACCGGGUGAGGAAGCACCGGCUAACUCCGUGCCAGCAGCCGCGGUAAUACGGGGGGUGCGAGCGUUGUCCGGAAUCACUGGGCGUAAAGGGCGCGUAGGUGGUUUGAUAAGGGUGUGGUGAAAGUCCGGAGCUCAACUCCGGAUCUGCCGUGCCGACUGUCAAACUCGAGGGCUGUAGAGGCAGACGGAAUUCCGGGUGUAGCGGUGGAAUGCGUAGAGAUCCGGAGGAAGACCGGUGGCGAAGGCGGUCUGCUGGGCAGUUUCUGACACUGAGGCGCGACAGCGUGGGGAGCAAACAGGAUUAGAUACCCUGGUAGUCCACGCCGUA